CCACUGUCUGGGCACUGCAUCCACAUUCAGGUAAACUGCAGGGGGCACUGCAGCCACUGUAGGAUCACUGCAUCCACCUUCAUGGGCACUGCAUACUCUGUCACAACAUGCUGCAUAAACCUUGUGGGACACUGCAUCCAAUGACUGGGAACUGCAUCCACGUUCUCAGACAAUGCAGUGGGUGCUGAAACCACUGCAGGGACAAUGCAUACAGCUGAAGUUGCACUGCAGGUGCACUGCAUUCAGCACAGGCUCAUUGCAUCCACCUUCGUGGGCACUGCAGCUUCCAUCACAACAUACGACAUCCACGUUGUGGGACACUGCAACUACUGCAUGGGCACUGCAUCCAUAUUCAGGGAACUGUAGGGGGCACUGCAACCACUGCAGCAUCUCUGCUUCCACCUUCAUGGGGCCUGCAUCCUCGAUCACAACAUACUGCAUCCAACUUGUGGACACUGCAUCCGCUGCAUGACUACUACAUCCACAUUCCCGGACAAUGCCUGGGACACUGCAAGCAAUGCAGGGAUACCAUAUCCACCUUCAUGAGAAUUGCAUCAUCCGUCAUAACAUACUGCAUCCACCUUGUGGGACACUGCAUCCACUGCCUGGGCACUGCAUUCACAUUCCCAGACAAUGCUGGGGGCACUGCAACCACUGCAGCAACACUGCAUCCAGCUGAAGUGGCACUGCAGGUGCACUGCAAUCACGGCAGGAUCACUGCAUCAUGCUUCAAGGGCAAGAGUCCUACUUCACAACAUACUGCAUCCGCUUUGUGGGACACAGCAUCCACUGCAUGACUACUGCAUCCACAUUCCCGGACAAUGUGAGGGGCACUGCUAGGACUGCAGGAACACUGCAUAGACCUUCAUGAGAACUGAAUCAUCUGUCAUAACAUACUGCAUAAAACUUUAGAGACACUGCCUCCACUGCAUGGGCACUGAACUCACCUUCAGGGACACCGAAGGCGUAACUGCAACCACUGCAGCAACACUGCUUCCAGCUGAUGAGGAAAUGUAAGUGCACUUCAAUAACUGCAGGAUCACUGCAUCCACUGCAUGUUCACAGCAUCCACAUUCAGGGACACAGAAGGGUGCUCUGCAACCACUGCAGAGACACGGCAUCCAGAUGAAGUGGCACUGCAGGUGCACUGCUAUGACUGCAGGAUCACUGCAUCGUCCUUCAUGGGCACUGACUCCGAUUUCACUACAUACUGCAUCCACCUUUUGGGACACUGCAUCCACUGCAUGACUAGUGCAUCCAAAUUCUCAGACAAUGCGGUGGGCACUGCAAGCACUGCAGCAACACUGCAUACACCUUCAUGAGAACUGCAUCAUCCGUCAUAACAAACUGCAUCCACCUUGUGGGAGACUGCAUCCACUGCCUGGGCACUGCAUCCACAUUCCUGGACAAUGCAGGCGGCACUGCAACCACUGCAGCAACACUGCAUCCAGCUGAAGUGGCACUGCAGGUGCACUGCCAUCAAUUCAGGAACACUGCAUUCACCUUCAUCGGCACUGCAUACUACAACACACCACAAUGCCUCCUCCUUGUGGGACACUGCAUCCACUGCAUGAGCACUGCCUUCACAUUCCAGGACAAUGCAGGGGGCAUUGCAACCACUGCAGGGACACUGCAUCCAGCUGAAGUGGCACUGAAGGCGUACUGCAAACACUGCCAGCUCACUGCAUCCAACUCGUGGUUUCUGCAUGUUCUGUCACAACAGACGGAAUCCAACUUUUGGCAUUAUGCAUCCACUGCAUGGGCACUGCAUAUAUAUUCAUGGACACGGAACAGGACACUGCAAACACUGAAGGGACACUGAAGCCAGCGGAGGUGGCUCUGCAGGUGCACUGCAAUGACUGCAGGAUCACUGCAUCCUCCUUCAUGAUCACUGAAUCUUACAUCACAACAUAAGGCAUCCACCAUGAGGGACACUGCAUCCACAUUCAUGUAAACUGCAGGGGGCACUGCACCCACUACAGGAUUACUGCAUCCACAUUCAUGGGCACUGCAUCCUCUGUCACAACAUACGGCAUCCACAUUGUGGGACACUGCAUCCACUGCAUGGGCACUGCAUCCAAAUUCAGGGACACAGGACGGGGCACUGCAGCCACUGCAGUGACAUUUCCGCCAGCUGAAGUGGGACUGCAAGUUCACUGCAAUGACUUCAGGAUCACUGCAUCCAUCUUCAGGAUUACUGAAUCCUCCAACACAUCAUAAGGCUUCCACCUUGACGGACACUGAAUCCACUGCAUGAGCACUGCAUCCAAAUUCAGGUAAACUGCAGGGGGCACUGGAACCACUGCAGGAUCACACAAUCCACCUUCAUGGGCACUGCAUCCUCCGUCACAACAUACUGCAUGCACAUUGUGGGACACUGCAUCCACUGAAUGAGCACUGCAUCCACAUUCCAGGACAAUGCUGGGGGCAUUGGAACCAGUCUAGGGACACUGCUUCCAGCUGAUGUGGAAAGGCAGGAGCACUGCAAGCAGUGCCUGAUCACAGCAUCCACCGUCAUGGGCACUUCAUCCUCCGUCACAACAUUCUGCAUGUACCUUGUGGGACACUGCAUCCAAUGCCUGGGCACUGCAUCCACGUUCUCGGACAAUGCAGUGGGCAUUGCAAACACUGCAGGGACACUGCAUACAGCUGAAGUAGCACUGAAGGCGCACUGCAAUUAAUGGCGGGUCACUGCAUCCAACUCGUGAUGACUGCAUCAUGUCACAACAUAUGGCAACCAACUUUUGGUACUCUGCAUCCAGUGCAUGGGCACUGCAUCCACAUUCAGGGACAGGGAACGGAGCAUUGCAACCACUGCAGGAACAAAGCAGAUAGCUGAAUUGUCACUGCAGGUGCACGGCCAUGACUGCAGGUUCACUGCAUCCACCUUCAUGGACACUGCAUCCUCCGUCAGAACAAAAGGCAUCCAGCUUUUGGGACACUGAAUCCACUGCAUGAGCACUGCAUCCACAUUCAGGAAAACUGCAGAGGGCACUGCAACCACUGCCGGGUCACUGCAUCCAACUUCAUGGACACUGCAUCCUCCGUCACAACAUACUGCAUGCACAUUGUGGGACACUGCAUCCACUGCCUGUUCACUGCAUCCACCUUCAGGGACAAUGCAGUUGGCUCUGGAACCACUGCAGUGACACUGCAUCCACCUGAAGUGGCACUGCAGGCACACUGCAAUAACUGCAGUCUCACUGCAUCCAUAUUCGUGGGCACUGCAUCCUCCAUCACAGCAUACCGCAUCCACCUUGUGGGACACUGCAUGCACUGCAUGGGCACUGCCUCCACAUUCACGGAAACUGUAAGGGGCACUGCAACCUCUACAGGUUCCUGGCAUCCACCUUCAUGGGCACUGCAUUCUCUGACAACACAUAUUGCAUCUGCCUUGUGAGACCCUGCAAUCACUGCAUGAACCCUGCAUCCACAUUCCAGGACAAUGCCAGGGGCACUGCAACCACUGCAGGGACACUGGAUCCGGCUGAAGUCGCACUGCAGGCACACUGCAAUCACUGCAGGCUCACUGCAUCCAUAUUCUUGGGCACUGCAUCCUCCAUCACAACAUACCACAUCCACCUUGUGGGACACUGCAUGCACUGCAUGGGCACUGCCUCCACAUUAAGGGAAACUGUAAAGGGCACUGCAAACUGUACAGGUUCAUGGCAUCCACCUUCAUGGGCACUGCAUCCUCUGACAACAUAUAUUGCACCCGCCUUGUGAGACACUGCAUCCACUGCAUGAACCCUGCAUCCACAUUCCAGGAGAAUGCCAGGGGCACUGCAACCACUGCAGGGAUACUGCAUUCAACUGAAGUCGCACUGCAGGCACAAGGCAUUCAGCACAGGCUCACUGCAUCAACCUCCGUGGGCACUGCAUCUUCCAUCAGAACAUACCACAUCCAGCUUGUGGGACACUGCAACUACAGCAUGGGCACUGCAUUCACAUUAAGGGACACAGUACGGGGCACUGCAACCACUGCAGGGAUGCAGCAGCGAGCUGAUGUGGCACUGCAGGUACACUGCAAUGACUACAGGAUCACUGCAUCCUCCUUCAUGAUCACUCAAUCCUCCAUUACAACAUAAGGCAUCAACCUUGUGGGACACUGCAUCCACUGCAUGGGCACUGCAUCCACAUUCAUGGAACCUGAAGGUUGCACUGCAACAAGUGCAGGAUCACGGCAUACACCAUCUUGGGCACUGCAUUCUCCAUGACAACAUACAUCAUCACUGAAUGAGCAGUGAAUCCACAUUCAGUGACACUGCCUCCAGAUGAAUUGACACUGCAGGUGCACUGUAAUGAAUGCAGGAUCACUGCAUCCUCCUUCAUGAGUAAUUCCUCCUACUUCACAACAUACUGCAUCCACCUUGUGUCACACUGCUGAGGCUCAUGGGCCCUGCAUCCACAUUCAGAGACACUGCAGUGGGCUCUGCAACCACGGCAGCAACACUGCAUUCAGCUGAAGUGGCACUGCAGGUGCACUACAAUCAGUGAAUAUUCAGCGCAUCCACUGCUUGUUCACUGCAUCCACAUUCAGGGACACUGCAGUGUGCAUGGAAACCACUGUAGGAUCACUGCAUGCACCUUCAUGGGCACUGCAUCCUCUGUCACAACAUAAGGCAUCCAACUUGUGUGACACUGCAUCCACAGUCCCGGACAAUGCAGGCAGCACUGUAUUCACUGCAGGGGCACUGUAUGCAGCUGAAGAGGCACUGAAGGUGCACCGCUAAAACUGAAUGUUCACUGCAUCCACUUCAUGUUCACUGCAUCCACAUUCAGGGACACUCCAGUGUGCAUGGAAAACACUGCAGGAUCCCUGCAUCCACCUUCAUGGGCACUGCAUCCUCAUUCACAACAUAUGGCAUCCAACUUGUGUGACACUGCAUCCACUGCCCUGGCACUGCAUGCGCAUUCCCAGACAAUGCAGGCAGCACUGCAACCACUGCAGGGACACUGUAUACAGUUCAAUUGGCACUGCAGGCGCACAUCAAUCAAUGCAUCUCAAUGCUUUCACAGUCGUGGGCACUGCAACGUCCGUCACAACAUACUGCAUCCACCUUGUGAGACACUGCAUCCACUGCAUGGGCACUGCAUCCACAAUCAGGGACACAGAAGGGGGCACAACAACCGGUGCAGGAACAUUGCAUGCACUUUCAUGGGCAAUGCAUCAGCCGUCAUAACAUACUGCAUCCAACUUGUGGGGUACUGAAUCCUUUGGAAGAGCAUGGCAUUCACAUUCUGGUACCCUGCAGGGGGCACUUCAACCACUGCAGGAUCACUGCAUCCACCUUCAUGGGCACUGCAUCAUCCAUCACAACUUACUGCAUCUACAUUCAGUGACACUGCAGCCAUUGCAUGGGCACUGCAGCCACGUUCAGGGACAGGGCAACAGGUAAUACAACCACUUCAGGGACGCUGGAUUCAGCUGAAGUGGCACUGCAGGUGCACUGCAAUCACUGCAGGAUCACUGCAUCUGCCUUCAUGGGCACUGCGUCUUCCAUGACAACAUACGUCAUCAGUGAAUGAGCACUGAAUCCACAUUCAGGGACACUGCAUCCAAAUGAAUUGACACUGCAGGUGCACUGCAAUGAAUGCAGGAUCACUGCAUCCUCCUUCAUGGGUACUGCAUCCUACUUCACAACAGACUGCAUCCAACUUUGGUCAUACUGCAGAGGCUGCAUGGGCCCUGCAUCCAAAAUCUCAGAAACGACAGUGGGCUCUGCAACGACAGCAGCAACACUGCAUUCAGCUGAAGUGGCACUGCAGGUUCCCUGCAAUCACUGAAUAUUCAGUGCAUCCACUGCUUGUCCACUGCAUCCACAUUCAGGGACACUGCAGUGUGCACGGAAACCACUGCAGACACACUGCAUCCACCUUCAUGUGCACUGCAUCCUCUGUCACAACAUACUGCAUCCAACUUGUGUAACACUGCAUACACUGCCUGGGCACUGAAUCCACAUUCACGGAAUCUGAAGGGGGCACUGCAACAACUGCAGGAUCACCGCAUCCACCUUCAGGGGCACUGCAUCCUCCAUUACAACAUACUUCAUCUGCAUUGUGGGACACUUCAUCCACUGCAUGGGCACUGCAUCCAGAAUCAGGGACACAGAAGGGGGAUCGACAACCAGUGCAGGAACACUGCAUGCACCUUCAUGGGCACUGCAUCCUUGGUCACAACAUACUGCAUCUACCUACAGUGACAAUGCAGCCAUUGCAUGGGCACUGCAGCCACGUUCAGGCACAGGGGAACAGGCACUUCAACCACUGCAGAAACUCUGGAUCUAGCUGAAGUGGCACUGCAGGCACACUGCAAUCAGUGCAGGAUCAGUGCAUCUGCCUUCAAAGGCACUGCAUCCUCCAUCACAACAUACUUCAUCACUGCAUGAGCAUUGCAUCCAAAUUCAGGGAAAGUGCAAGUUGCACUGCAGCGACUGCAGGGACACUACAUCCAGUGAAGUGGCACUGCAUGCACACUGCAACAACUGCAGGAUCACUGCAUCUGCCUUCAUGGGCACUGAAUCCUCCAUCACAACAUACAUCAUCACUGCAUGAGCACUCAAUCCACAUUCAGGGACACUGCAUCCAGAUGAAUUGACACUGCAGGUGCACUGGAAUGAAUGCAGGAUCACUGCAUCCUCCUUCAUGGGUACUGCAUCCUACUUCACAACAUACUGCAUCCAACUUGGGUCACACUGCAGAGGCUGCAUGGGCCCUGCAUCCACAUUUACAGAAACGGCAGUGGGCUCUGCAACCACGGCAGCAACACUGCAUUCAGCUGAGGUGGCACUGCAGGUGCACUGCAAUCACUGAAUAUUCAGUGCAUCCACUGCUUGUACACUGCAUCCACAUUCAGGGACAUGGCAGUGUGCACAGAAACCACUGCAGGAUCACUGCAUCCACCUUCAUGACCACUGCAUCCUCUGUCACAACAUACUGCAUCCAACAUGUGUGGCACUGCAUACACUGCCUGGGCACUGCAUCCACAUUCCCGGACAAUGCAGGCAGCACUGCAAUCACAGCAGGGACACUGUAUGCAGCUGAAGUGGCACUGCAGGUGCACUGCAAUCACUGAAUGUUCACUGCAUCCACUUGAUGUUCACUGCUUCCACAUUCAGGGAUACUACAUUGUGCACGGAAACCACGUCAGGAACACUGCGUCCACCUUCAUGGGCAUUGCAUCCUCUGUGAAAACAUACUGCAUCCACUUUGUGUGACACUGUAUACACUGCCUGGACACUGCAUCCACAGUCCCGGACAAUGCAGGCAGCACUGCAAACACUGCGGGCACACUGUAUGCAGCUGAAGUGGCACUGCAGUUGCACUGCAAUCACAGAAUGUUCACAGCAUCCAACUAAUGUUCACUGCAUCCACAUUCAGGGACACUACAGUGUGUACGGAAACCACUGCAGGAUAACUGCAUCCACCUUCAUGGUCACUGCAUCCUCUGUAAAAACAUACUUCAUCCAACUUGUGUGACACUGCAUACUCUGCCUGGGCAGUGCAUCCGCAUUCCCAGACAAUGCAGGCAGCACUGCAACUACUGCAGGGGCACUGUAUGCAGUUGAAGUGGCACUGCAGGUGCACCACAAUCACUGAAUGUUCACUACAUCCACUUCAUGUUCACUGCAUCCACUUCCUGUUCACUGCAUCCACCUUAAGUGACACUACGGUGUGCAUGGAAACCAAAGCAGGAUCACUGCAUCUGCCUUCAUGGGCACUGCAUCCUCCAUCACAACAUACUUCAUCACUGCAUGAGCACUGCAUCCAAAUUCAGGGACAGUGCAGGUUGCACUGCAGUGACUGCAGAGACACUGCAUCGAGCUGAAGUGGCACUGCAUGCGCACUGCAACAACUGCAGGAUCACUGCAUCCACCUUCAUGGCCACUGCUUCCUCCAACACAACGUACUGCAUCUAACUUCUGUGAUACUGCAGCCAUUGCAUGGGCACUGCAUCCCUGUUAAGGGACAGUGCAUCCGGCACUGCAACGCCUGCAGGGAAACUGGAUCCACCUGAGGUGGCACUGCAGAUGCACUGCAAUCACUGCAGGAUCACUG
rnacentral:lncRNA from 1 species